UACGAAGGGGGCUAGCGUUGCUCGGAAUCACUGGGCGUAAAGGGUGCGUAGGCGGGUCUUUUAAGUCAGGGGUGAAAUCCUGGAGCUCAACUCCAGAACUGCCUUUGAUACUGAAGAUCUUGAGUUCGGGAGAGGUGAGUGGAACUGCGAGUGUAGAGGUGAAAUUCGUAGAUAUUCGCAAGAACACCAGUGGCGAAGGCGGCUCACUGGCCCAAUACUGACGCUGAGGCACGAAAGCGUGGGGAGCGAACAGG
rnacentral:rRNA from 1 species